GUGUUAAAUAUAUGGGAAAAAAAACAAAUUUUGAAAAUAACGUAGAGCUACUUUUGCUAGAAACAUAUAACCUAUUAGGUGGAUACAUGGGAAAAGAGCUAUGUUUGCUUUGAACAUUAUAGGAUGGGAUGAAACACUAACCUAUUAGGUGGAUACAUGGGAAAAGAGCUAUGUUUGCUUUGAACAUUAUAGGAUGGGAUGAAACACUCCAAAUCGAUGUAUUUGAUUUAAAAUGACAUAUACUUAUACAUAUUACUUAGCUACUGAAUGCAUUUGUUUAACAUAGUAGCCUUCUCAAGAUGACUAUGUAUACAACACCAAAUCAACACAAGUAGAAUAAUUUAUACUUAUUUUAUACAUCGUUUUAAAAAUUAAAUAUAUGUCUUAAACACUAAAACAAGGAAAUAUGCAAUUUUUUUAUGAAUAAUUAUAAUGACCUAAAUUAUAAUGUAUCGAUAUUGAGUUUUUUAAAAU
rnacentral:lncRNA from 1 species